CUCCACUGCGCUCCCAGCGUUCGACCGAAAGAAACGGAGUUAUCGCGCACUUCAGCGUAAAGACGCAGGACAUGAAAAUGCAGGAUAUGUACCAUCCGAAUAUCCGGAUGGUAAGUUGACUCCCCAUCAGCAGCUCCUCAUGUGUGAUCAGACAGACCUCCCUGCGUAUGCUUCAUGGCUCCCUCCUGCCUCUGACACUGCCACCUCACACUCUCUCUCCUUCGCCAAGCACUAAACCGCUGCCUCGCUCCACUCCUCCGUCUCCGCGCUACCAUGCCCUCCACUCUCCGCGCUCUGCUGCUGAUGCUGCUGGGAGCCCGCGUGAUGCCGUCCGGCGGCGACUCGCCCCGGCGGGAGAUCAAGAUGGACGGGGACCUUGUGUUGGGAGGCCUCUUCCCCAUCCAUGAGAAGGGCCUGGGCAUGGAUGAGUGCGGUCGCAUCAAUGAGGACCGGGGCAUCCAGAGGCUAGAGGCCAUGCUCUUCGCCAUCGACCACAUCAACCGUGACGUAAGCCUGCUGCCGGGCGUGCCGUUGGGCGUGCACAUCCUGGACACGUGCUCGCGGGACACCUACGCUCUGGAGCAGGCACUGGAGUUCGUGCGGGCCUCACUGACCAAGGUGGAUGACACUGAGUUCAUCUGCCCCGAUGGCUCGUACGCAUUCCAGGAGGACACCCCACUGGCCAUCGCAGGGGUCAUCGGAGGCUCCUACAGCAGCGUCUCUAUACAGGUUGCCAACUUGUUGCGCCUUUUCCAGAUCCCUCAGAUCAGUUACGCCUCUACCAGCGCCAAGCUCAGUGACAAAUCGCGCUACGACUACUUCGCCCGCACUGUCCCGCCAGACUUCUACCAGGCCAAGGCCAUGGCAGAGAUCCUGCGAGCCUUCAAUUGGACGUACGUGUCCACAGUGGCAUCUGAGGGUGACUACGGCGAGACGGGCAUCGAGGCCUUUGAGCAGGAAGCCCGCCUCCGGAACAUCUGCAUCGCCACGUCGGAGAAGGUGGGCCGCUCCAACGCCAAGCGCUCCUCGUACGAGGCGGUGGUGCGGCAGCUGCUGCAAAAGCCCACGGCACGCGUGGUCGUGCUGUUCCUACGCAGCGACGACGCCCGUGAGCUGCUGGCUGCCGCCACCCGCCUCAACUCCUCCUUCCUAUGGGUAGCCAGUGAUGGAUGGGGAGCACAGGAGAGCAUCGUCAAGGGCAGCGAGGUGACGGCAGAUGGGGCCAUCACGCUGGAGCUGGCCGCCCACCCCAUUCCCGAGUUCAACCGCUACUUCCAGAGCCUCAGCCCACUGAAUAACCACCGCAACCCAUGGUACAAAGACUUCUGGGAGCAGAAGUUCCAGUGCUCACUGGGCGGGACGACGGCGGAAGGGGCAGGAACCCCGAAGCCUCCCUGCGACCCGGACCUGGCAGUGGACGACAACAAUUUCGAGCCCGAGUCAAAGAUCAUGUUCGUGGUGAACGCAGUGUACGCCAUGGCACAUGCCCUGCACCGCAUGCAGAGGGCACUGUGUGCCAACACCACCCGUCUGUGUGAUGCCAUGCGCAGCCUCGACGGACGCAGGCUCUACCGCGACUUUCUGCUCCACAUCAACUUCCGAGCUCCAUUCUCUUCUCCUGGCUCAGAGAAUGUAGUCAAGUUUGACCAGUAUGGAGAUGGCAUGGGCCGCUACAACAUCUUCAACUACCAGCACUUGCCAGGCAGUGACAGGUAUGGCUACAUCCAGGUGGGAGAGUGGGCGGAGACGCUCUCCCUCAACGAGUUCCUGGUUGGGUGGCCAAGGGGCGCGGGCGUGCCCACCUCCCAGUGCAGCGACCCGUGCGCCCCCAACGAGAUGAAGAAGAUGCAGGCAGGCGAGUACUGCUGCUGGAUCUGCACGCCAUGCGAGCCCUACGAGUACCUGCCCGAUGAGUUCACGUGCGCGCCAUGCGCCCCGGGCCAGUGGCCUCGUGCCGACCUGAGCAGCUGCUAUGACCUUCCCGAGGACUACAUCAUGUGGGAGGACGCGUGGGCCAUCGGACCCGUCUCAGUGGCCUGCGUGGGCUUCAUCUGCACCUCCCUGGUCUUUGGCGUCUUCAUCCGCCACAACGACACGCCCCUGGUGAAGGCUUCAGGCCGGGAGCUCUGCUACAUCCUCCUGCUUGGCGUGCUCAUGUCCUACUCCAUGACAUUCGUGUUCAUUGCCAAGCCGUCUCCGGCAGUCUGUGCGCUCCGAAGACUGGGCCUGGGUACCUCUUUUGCCGUGUGCUACUCGGCACUGCUCACCAAGACCAGCCGCAUCGCCCGCAUCUUCGGCGGGGUGAAGGACGGAGGCGCCCGCCCGCCCCGAUUCAUCAGCCCUGCCUCGCAGGUCUUCAUCUGCCUGGGGCUGGUCUCCGUGCAGCUGCUGCUGGCGUCCGCCUGGCUGCUGCUAGAGGUGCCGGGCACGCGGCGUUUCACGCUGCCCGAGAGGCGCCAGACAGUGGUGCUCAAGUGCAACGUGCGUGACUCCAGCAUGCUGCUGUCGCUCAGCUAUGACGUGGUGCUCGUCGUGCUCUGCACCGUCUAUGCGUUCAAGACGCGCAAGUGCCCCGAGAACUUCAACGAGGCCAAGUUCAUCGGCUUCACCAUGUACACCACCUGCAUCAUCUGGCUGGCAUUCCUGCCAAUCUUUUACGUCACGUCUAGUGACUACAGGGUCCAGACCACCACAAUGUGUAUAUCGGUGAGUCUGAGCGGCUUUGUGGUGCUGGGCUGCAUGUUCGCGCCUAAGGUUCACAUCAUCAUGUUCCAGCCCCAGAAGAACGUGACUAGCCACCGGCUCAACCUCAACCGCUUCAGCGUCAGUGGUGCCGCCACUGCCUGCGCUUCGCAUGCGUCUGUGAGCGCCCACUUUGUUCCAACAGUGUGCAACGGGAGAGAGAUCGUGGACUCCACUACUUCCUCUCUGUGACCCCGCCUCUAACUACUGCUCUUUAGCGACUGUUAGCCAAUCAGCACACAUUGUGCUCUGCCCAAGAACUACGCCCAUCUACAGUGUGUAGAAAGGAAAAUGCUGACUGCUGUAGUGGCUAAGCCUGCAGUACUGGACAAAACCUGGUCAUUUCCUUUUGUAGGUUUCAUUGUAAUAAUCUAUUCUGUAUGUAUUUCUAUGUUGUAUAUUUUGUACAUAAUCUUACUGAUGGUUUUAGCAGCACAAGUUGACCAUGGUAGAUGAAGCGAUGCUUCUGUUGAGAGGGUGUUGAUGCUAGUAGUUGUACAAGCGCACACAGACUUCUUGUAGUAAGCGUUCAUAUCGUCUGCUGCUGCUUUCCAUGAACUGCUUCUCACAAAGCAUACACAUACCAGCCCGAAGUGGUCUUGAAUGCUAAACUUUGACGCCGAUGUGACGUAUUUAUGAUGUAUAAAAAAGCUUGGUGAGACAGGCAUGGUUAAGUUGUGAUCCAUUGUUUAAUGGCUCUUUGUGCCUUAUCCUGUGUUCAGUAGUUUCAUAUGAAAGCUUCCUGAAGACCUUUAGUCAAGGGGUAGCUGAGUCCAUUUGUUUACAUCUCUUUUUUACAUCUCAGUGUUUUUUACAUUUCUACAUUCUGCUGUGCUUUGGAAAGGGGGGGGGUUACAUUUUAUUUAACGUGUUGAUCAAUUUGUAGUCAUGUCACUGGUUUGUUUAGGACUGUGUUCAGCUGAUAAGGUCUGAUCGUGGCGAUUUAUUCAGUUGUAAGUCUGUAAGUCAUAAUCAUUUUAGGUUUUGCCAUUUUUAAAAUGGAUUGACGCACAACCAAUAUGGAACAGUGCUUCAGAAAAGUGACAUUCGUUAUUUGCCGUCGUGACAGUGAACUCAUACCGCUGCAUGCCAACAAAGAGGAAGUGAAAAUGCACAACAGAAUGAGAAGAGUCCAACUGUGUUUUAUAAUGGUAAUGAGGUAACUGCCUGAUCAACAGCACAAACUUCUGGUCUUCUGGUAGGAUCUCAUUCAGAAAACAUACUUUUGAGUCAUUACUCAACAAGUGUCAUCCCUGCGGCCUUUAGUGUAGUAUGUGCAUACACGUGGCUACAAGUGCCCUCAAUUGCUCUGUUCUCACUGAAAUCUGUGAUGCUUUUACAAUUCUCCCUAAAUGCCAUUCUGUGCCAUGCGAAAUGCUAAGGUUAGUGAAAGCCAGACUGAUGUGGAGAUGGAGAAAGACAGACAGUUAACAUUUAAAGUGAAAGGAAUAGGAAGACAUGUGGUAGUGAGUGCACAGAGGGCGAGAGAGCAGCUUCUGACCUCUAAAGUCACGGUCCGCGUUUGCUUCGUUCCACGAUCAGCAGCCCACUGCAGUCUGAGGCUGCUCUGUAGAGAGCUUUUAUAUAUCAGACUCCAAAAGUGUGUGGCUGGCUGACUCCCCCCACGGCCAGCGAGUUGCUAGGGGACAGCGGUUCUACACGGCCUCCUCAGGAAUGCUUUUGAGCAGAAGAGGAACAGGAGGAGAGCCAAAAUGAAGCUGCUUUAUCUGAAGGGCUUAGAGAGGUGUUUCAGAAAGAGGAAGCCGACUGCAGGCUGUUCAGAGACAGCAAUCAGAGCGUAUCCACUGCCCCCCUGGGUUAUGUUCAGCCCCUACAGAUACUUCCCAACAGGAGCAGGGGCUGAGGAUUCGCUGUAAAUUAGAUGGCACUGUAAUCGGUGCGCUGGCAUAUUCCACAUGAUCAUAAACAGAUGUUUUUGAUUCAUGUUUGAUGAUGGUUAGUCCAGGCAAUUCUCCUCUUGUUGGCAUGAUUUGGAAAAUUUUGGUAAAAACAUCG